UACGUAGGCAGCGAGCGUUGUUCGGAGUUACUGGGCGUAAAGAGUGCGUAGGCGGUUUUCUAAGUUUGGUGUGAAAUCUCCCGGCUUAACUGGGAGGGUGCGCCGAAAACUGGAAAGCUGGAGUGUGGGAGAGGUAAGCGGAAUUCCUGGUGUAGCGGUGAAAUGCGUAGAUAUCAAGAGGAACACCUGAGGUGAAGACGGGUUGCUGGGCUGACACUGACGCUGAGGCGCGAAAGCUAGGGUAGCAAACGGG
rnacentral:rRNA from 1 species